AGAGAAAUCAGCCUGAAGAGUUAUGAAACCAAGGCUACUCAAAUCAAUCAUGCUGGGUUAGUCCCAGAUUUAAUAAGGUAUGUUGUAUUGUACAAAGUUGCCCAAUUUUAUUUGAAACCACACUGUAUGUUAAAGUCAAAAUGUAGACCUCCAAGUCACAUGUGGCAGCACAUGCCUGUAAUCCAGUGACCCGGGAGGCUGAGAUGAGGAUCACAAGAUCAGCCUAUGCAACUUAGUGAGACCCUUGUCUCAAAAUUUAAAAAUGACAAGGGCUGGGAAUUUAGCUCAGUGGUAUAGUAUUCCUGGGUUUGAUCCCCAGUAUAUCUCCCCCCAAUACACACACAAAGAUAAAGCUCCAGCAAUUUCCAGGUUUCACGGGUGUUUCAGUUGACUCUGGGUUAAAAAUCUAGGUUACUCAAGUCUCAUAUUAUUGGUCCUUAGUAGAAGGGAUCUGGAUUUAGUAUCAGUUUCAAUUAUAAAUGACUAAUACCUUGGACAAGUUACCUGACUUACCUGAGUCUUAGUUUCUUCAUCUGGAAACCACUUCCUGGUAUGUGGGUGACACACAAUAAACGUUUGGGUCCUUUCUCAUGAUGCUCUCCUGUCAGCAAUCCAAUCAGCUGGACUUUGGUUCCUCUUGAUUAGAACAGUGACUUUCCAAUGUGGAGGACUAUUCUGGAUAAAAGUCUGUUGUCUUUCUCUCCCUUUUAUAGGUCCCUUACCUGUCUUUUGGACAUAGACCCUAUCAUAUCCAACAUUUCUGUUAUUUACUCCAAAGGGUUAUCAAGGUAAUUAGUGGUCCGCCUCAUUUUCUGUGCUCUAUAAUGACCAUUCUCUUCUGUUAAACAUUUUUCUUCUAAUGAGUUAUAAAAUUGUUCAUUACUAAUUAUGACAUUGAUUUUAGUUUUAAGAAUUCUAAACCUUUUUUUCUCCCCUAAAUUCAAAGUUUUUUGUAGAAGGAAUUGCAAAAAAAUGAAAUCACCCAAAGAACCACUUUACUAUUUUUUUUUUUUUUUUGUACCUGGGAUUAAACCCAGGUGUGCUUAACCACUGAGCAACAUCCCCAGCCCUUUUAAUAUUUUAUUUGAAGACAGGCUCUUGCUAAGUUGCUUAGGCUGGCUUUGAAUUUGUGAUCCUCCUGCCUCAACCUCCCGAGCUGGUGGGAUUACAGGUAUGUGCCACUGUGCCCAGCCCACUUUACUAUCUUUUUUAUAUUUUUUAGAUGUUGAUGGACCUUUAUUUUGUUAAUUUAUUUAUAUGUGGUACUGAGAAUUGAACCCAGUGCCUCACACAUGCUAGGCAAGUGCAUUACCACUUAGCUAUAACCCCAGCCCCAGUUUACUAUUUUAAUAAGCAUCUUUCCAUAUAUCUUUCUAUACACUUCCAUAUGUAGAUAUUUAUUUAUAAAUUUAUAGGGCCCUAUUAUGCCUACUAGCAUAGUACUAGUAGCAUUAUUCCAUAAAGUUGUUGAUAAAUUCAUUCUAUUAUUUUUUAAAUAUUUUUUUUAGUUGUAGUUGGACACAAUACCCUUAUUUUAUUUACUUAUUUUUAUGUAGUGCUGAGGAUUGAACCCAGGGCCUCGUGCAUGCUAGGCAAGUGCUCUACCACUGAGCUACAACUUCAGCCCCUCUAUUAUUUUUUUAAACCAACCUUUUAUUGCUGGGCAUUUGGCUUGUUUCCAGUUUUUCAAAAUUAUAAACAACACUGAAAUAAACAUCCUUUUAUGUAAUUAUAUCUUUUUCUCCUUAGGACAAUAGUUCUUUAUCCUAGAGCGAGAUGUGGUGGCACAUGCCUGUAAUCCCAAUGGCUCAGGAGGCUGAGGAUCUUGAGUUCAGAGCUAGCCUCAGUAAUUUAUCAAGGCCCUAAGCAACUCAGUGAGACCCUGUCUCUAAAUAAAAUAAAAAAUAACUGGGGAUGUGGCUCAGUAGUUAAGUCCCCCUGAGUUUAAUCUCUGGUUCCAAAAAUCUUUAUCCUGGCCUCUCCUGAAGAGUUUUUUGUAUACCUUUUUUUUAGUUGAGUGGACCUUUAUUUAUUUAUUUAUUUAUUUUUAUAUGGUUCUGAGAAUUAAACCCAGUGUCUCACACAUACAAGGCAAGUACUCUACCACUGAGCAAUAACCUCAGUCCUCCUGAAGAGCUUUUAAAGGCCCCUUUUUGGGCUGGGGAUAUGGCUCAAGCGGUAGCGCACUCGCCUGGCGUGCGUGCGGCCCAGGUUGGAUCCUCAGCACCACAUACAAAGAUGUUGUGUCCGCCGAAAACUAAACAAUAAAUAUUAAAAUUCCCUCUCUCUUUCUCUUUAACAAAAAAAUAAAUAAAGGCCCCUUUUCUACCUCUACUGAAAUAAAUCAGAUGGUGGUAAGCCUGAGCAUCAAUAUUUGUUAAAAAUGCCUUAGAUGAUUCUAUGUACAAUUAUGGUUAAAGACCAUUGUUUUAAGAUAAAGACCUCUGAAUUCUAUUCAGGUGGUGCAUGAACCAGCAGCCCAAGUGCCACCUGGGAGAGUGAUAGACAAGCAAAAGCUUGGACAUCACCUCAGACCUCAAUUCCAGAAUAUACAUUUAUUUAUUUAUUUACUUACUUACUUAAUUUAUGCCAAUGAUAGAAACCAUGGCACUAUAGCUCACUAUAUACUGAGCUACAUUCUCAGCCCUUUUCAUUUUUUUGAGACAGGGUCUUGCUUAGGUUGCCCAGGCUUAAAACUCAUUGAACCCCAUCCCUAUCUCUUCAUCUAUUCUGUGGUUUUAACCUAUUUAUUGUCUUCACAGAAUGAGUUCAAACCUGCGAUCCUCCUGCCUGAGCCUCCUGAGUGGCUAGAAUUACAGACAUGCAACAAAAUCCAUAUUUUAACAAGAUUUCCAGGUGAUUCAUCUGUAAGAUAAAAUUUGUGAAGUGCUGGUCUAAAUGGUAUUUCUGGAUCAAAAAACAUUUACAUUUAAAAUACACUCAAAAAUCUCUCUGUAGAUAAGUGGCACCAAUUCAUAUCCCCAACACAGAUGCUUGAUUCCCCCCUCUCCCACCAAACUUAGAUCUUACCGAUAUUUUUCCUCUUUAGUUAUCUUAUUUUAAUUUACAUUUUUGAUUAUCAGUGAAACUAGACAUCUUUUAACAUGCUAACUGGUUACUUGUUAUGCUUCUUUUUAAAAAAAUAUUUUUAUUAGUUGUUGAUGGCCACCAUUUUACUUGUUUAUUUAUAAUGCAGUGCUGAGAUUCUAACCCAGUGCCUCACACAUGCUAGGAAAGUGCUCUACCACUGAGCCACAACCCCAUGCCCUUUGUUAUGCUUCUUUUCUGAAUUGCUCUUUGCAUGUUUUUCCAUUAAGGUGUUUGUCUUUUUCUUAGAAGUUAUUAGAUCUCUUUGGAUAUUAGGAAUAUAAACCUUUUAGUCAUACAAUAUAUUGCAACUCUAUCAUUUGUUGACUUUAUCCUCAUUCAGCCAUUAUUUUAUAUUUUUAAUUAAUUAAUUAAUUUUGUAGUUGUAGAUGGACAGAAUGCCUUAUUUUGUUAUUUUUAUGUGGUGCUGAGGAUCGAACCCAGUGCCUCACACAUGCUAGGCAAGUUCUCUGCCACUGAGCUACAGCCCCAGCCCUUACAUUUUUAAAAAAUCUAUUUUUUAGUUGUAGGUGGACAUAAAACCUUUAGUUUUUUUUAGUUGUCAAUGGACUUUAUUUAUUUAUAUGUGGUGCUGAGACUUGAACCCAGUGCCUCACACAUACUAGGCAAGUGCUCCACCACUGAGCCACAACCCCAGCCCCCAAUACCUUUAUUUUUAUGUGGUGCUGAGGAUUGAACCCAGUGCCUCGCGCUCACUAGGUGAGCACUCUACCACUAAGCCCACCACCCCAGCCCA
rnacentral:tRNA from 1 species